AGAGUUUUAGCCUAGUGGUUAGGGCGUCGGACUCACGACUUGAAGGUCGGGGGUUCGAUUCCCGAUCCCUCUG
rfam:Macrostomum lignano uti_cns_0009924, whole genome shotgun sequence.